ACGAUGUCGAUUUAUAGGUUGUGGUCUUGAACCGUGGCUUCUGGAGCUAACGCGUUAAAUCGACCGCCUGGGGAGUACGGCCGCAAGGUUAAAACUCAAAUGAAUUGACGGGGGCCCGCACAAGCGGUGGAGCAUGUGGUUUAAUUCGAUGCAACGCGAAGAACCUUACCUACUCUUGACAUCCAGCGAAUCCUUUAGAGAUAGAGGAGUGCCUUCGGGAACGCUGAGACAGGUGCUGCAUGGCUGUCGUCAGCUCGUGUUGUGAAAUGUUGGGUUAAGUCCCGCAACGAGCGCAACCCUUAUCCUUUGUUGCCAGCACGUAAUGGUGGGAACUCAAAGGAGACUGCCGGUGAUAAACCGGAGGAAGGUGGGGAUGACGU
rnacentral:rRNA from 1 species